rnacentral:rRNA from 1 species
UAAGACGAACCGUGCGAACGUUAUUCGGAAUCACUGGGCUUAAAGCGCGUGUAGGCGGGAGGGCACGUCGGUCGUUGAAAUCCCCCGGCUCAACCGGGGAAGUGGCGCCGAUACGACCUUCCUGGAGGAACGUAGGGGGACCUGGAACUUCCGGUGGAGCGGUGAAAUGCGUUGAGAUCGGAAGGAACGCCCGUGGCGAAAGCGAGGUCCUGGACGUUUUCUGACGCUGAGACGCGAAAGCCAGGGGAGCAAACGGG